GACGAACCGUGCGAACGUUAUUCGGAAUCACUGGGCUUAAAGCAUCCGUAGCCGGUCCUGCAAGUCUUCCGUUAAAUCCAGCUGCUCAACAGAUGGGCUGCGGGGGAUACUACAUGGCUAGGAGGCGGGAGAGGCAAGCGGUACUUUAUGGGUAGGGGUAAAAUCCGUUGAUCCAUAGAAGACCACCAGUGGCGAAGGCGGCUUGCCAGAACGCGCUCGACGGUGAGGGAUGAAAGCUGGGGGAGCAAACCGG
rnacentral:rRNA from 1 species